UUUUUUUUUUUUCCUCGCAGGCAGUAUUUGUUUACGAAACCAAAACGCUUACGACUUGGCGAUAAAAGGUUAGCGCCAAUUGGCGCAGCUUUUUAUUUCAACGGAGUACACGGAAAAAGAACAUAAAAUUCAAUUACUUGUAAAAGGGGAUUCCAAUAAAUAAUGUCACAGUAUUUAAUACAUUUUGAUGCUGUUAAUAGAUACUGAAAAUGUCAUAUACAGCGGCAAUUUUCUUAUACAAUAUGGCUGAAACUUUCCAACCAAUUCAACAGAGAUAGUAAAAUGACAAAAAUACUGGAAAUAAAAUAAUAAAUCAUGCAAUUUUAACUUAGCUAUAAAUGGUUACAGGUCCUCCUUUUACAAAAACUUUCUUUACAUACAUAGGCGCUGCAGCGAAUAACCAUUUUUUCUUAAAUUUUAUGUGAGCAAACAAAGCAGGCGUCUUUCGUCCCAUAGAAAUGAAUGUAAAGUAUUUCCGGACUUUCGGAAUUCGACCAGCAGUCACGUGACACUAAUGUUGGAACCGGUUGGAGGUUGCAAUAAGCUCUCUAUCAGUAUAUAUCUCGUUGGUUGGAACCGGUUGGAGGUUGCAAUAAGCUCUCUACCAGUAUAUAUCUCGUUGAGUUCGAGGGCUACUUCCCAACCACAAAAGACCCACGAACUGGUAAGAAAUGGAUCUGCGACCCAUUUGUCAACAAAUCAGGCGAAUCUAGCAUCUGUCUGUUCAAGAAGAUCAACUGUUGAAUAUUUAAAUGUUGGCGGCCUUAAAAAUACGUUCGAGACAACAACUCUGCCGGUGUUCUGGAUUAAAGACAUGGCAGAACCACCACAGCACUUAAAUCCUUAUUGCCAUUUCCGACAACCUAUCUGUGUGAAGCGGAGUUUUCUGCAGUAACAGCAACCAAAACAAAGCAACGGAAUAAACUAGACAUAAGCAACACACUUCGGGUAUCAUUGUCUCCGAUUUCCGCCAGAUGGAACCGUCUCAUUGCUAAGAAACAAGCUCAGGGUUCUCAUUGAUUAAACGUUCUACAAGAGCAAAAUGGCAAAAUUUUAGCAACCGUGGAAGAAAAAUCCUCCAUCUUAAAGCGUGGUCCUGUCAGCAAGAGAAACUUUCAUAGCCUGUACUCAUCUUGUCAAAAGGGCUUCAAACGGAUUAGAAGCCAAAAUAAAGAUGCAAUAUUUUCUGAAUACGAAGUAUACUGAUCAAACUACUUAUCUUCUUUUUAUCCUCGUGAAGAGUUUUCAUUUUGUACCAGUGAUCAGAAAUGAUUUGAGAUGUGUAAAUGAACAUUCAAGUUAUCAGGAAGUACUUCUAUCUGUGAUUCUGCAUUCUUCUGUAGUUGUUUUGAAAAAUAAUGUUUCUGCUUUUGA